rnacentral:rRNA from 1 species
UACGUAGGGUGCAAGCGUUGUCCGGAAUUAUUGGGCGUAAAGAGCUCGUAGGCGGUCUGUCGCGUCGGCUGUGAAAACCCGAGGCUCAACCUCGGGCCUGCAGUCGAUACGGGCAAACUAGAGUACUGCAGGGGAGACUGGAAUUCUCGGUGUAGCGGUGAAAUGCGUAGAUAUCGAGAGGAACACCUGCGGCGAAGGCGGGUUGCUGGGCUGAUA